AGUCAGCAAUGUUGACUCUCUGGUCACUGAUCUCAUUCUGCAUGUUAUGGGGUCAAAGUGUUGGAGACACCAUCACACCAGAGAAGGAUGCUGAACAAGCCGCUGAGGGCAGUAAAGUGAAGCUCUCCUGCAGAUACAGCAGCUCUCGAGUUUACAGUCUGUUAUGGUACCGCCAGUAUCCUGGAUCAGCUCCCCAGUUCCUCAUACUGGAAAACUCAGGAGUCGUAAAUAAUCCCAUACCAGGACUGAGCAUCCAACACGUCAAAGAGCAGAGUCGUGUGGAUCUGGAGAUCUCCUCAGCUGAAGUGACAGAUUCUGCUCUGUACUUCCUCUUCUUCCACUUGGGCACAGGUUCAGGAGCAAGAAAAGCUGAUCCAAACUCUGGACUUUAUAUUAAAGUGAAUGAAGAGAAAACCCAAAUGGAUCUGGAGAUCUCCUCUGCUGCAGUGACACACUCUGCUCUGUACUAC